rnacentral:lncRNA from 12 species
CACCCCCAGCAACACUUGGGCGCUCAGGCCUCCCCCUGCAUUUGGAAGGAGCCCACAAGUCCUGUUAGCCAGGGUGGACCAGCUGCACAUCUGCCCCAGCCCCGAAAACAUCAGCAGGAGCAGAGACAAUAGUCUUUUGCAGAACGGCCCUCGGGGGAAGCAGCUGUGCUGGGGAUGGGGAAGGAUACUUGGAUAGGGACCGCAGGGAGGGGCCCCCACGGGUGCCCUCAAUUGCAGGGGCUUUUGCUUUGCUCAGAGGGGGCUGCAGAUCGGAGGCCAGAGAUGAAGUCUCCGAGCGAGCGAGCGAGCAGAAUGGAGAGGCUGAAGCUGCCCCCCCAAGGGCCCUUCUUCCUGCUGGGCCCUUCCUUUAUUUAUUCAGAGCACUCAGCCUUUCCGUUGAGUAAAUACUGAACAAAUACUGUAAAACCACCGUUUAAACAGUGUGGAAUUAUGAGCCUGUCUCCACCCGCACUGACCGCAGCGCCCCCGGGCCUGCGGGUGGGGAUGGACGCGCGGGCGCCUGGCGAGGCGGGCACUUCCGGCGCCGCCAUCUUGCCGGCGGUGCUCAUGUGCCGAAGGAACCGGAAGCCGCGCUCAGACCGGAAGUCACGUGGCCAGCGUGACUUUGGCGUGAGGUAGGAGAAGGGCGGAUGGCUGGGUAGGGAGCUUUUGCCUCGCGAGGUAGGAGCCGGGAUGAGAGGGAGGUUUUUAGGCCCAGAGAAGGGGCGCUGUGGUGUGGUCUGAGGGUCUCCCGGGAAGGCGGGAAAUAUGCGGAGAGGCAGAGGCAGCGCUGCCUCUGUGACGACGCUGACGCGUUCUCUCACAACCGCGGAGCCCGGAGGUGGUUCCCUCGAGGGAAGCGGUAGGCGCCCCCGUAGAGGCCUUGGCUGUGGAGCGACACCUGAGGAAGUGUGUUCACCAGCCUCCUGCUCCCGCUGCCGCUGCCGGAGGGAGAGAGAUUCAGGGCCCUGCGUGCAUGCGACGUGCCUCCUCCCUGGGGGCUCGGCGGAGCCACCGACGAUGACGUCAACACCCAGAACCCAGGGUCUGCAGCCACAUAAUCUAAUGUUGGCCUGAAAAAAUAUUUGUCUGCAGAAACACUCGCAUGAGGUGUUGGGAAGACCAGCUCCAGGACACUGAGGUGGAGCCCCUACGGUAGCCCCCAGCCAGAUCCCCUCAAAUCAGGCCCUGACCUAUUUAUUCUAAAUCCUCUUCACCCUUUGUAACAAGUGGUAUCUAGAGCGUCUCCUGAUCGUAUCUUCUUUAUCUGCCAGCAAUAGUUUUCUCGACAAAUUUAGGUGAGAUGGUGGGUGUAGGUGAGGGGUGAAGGGCCACAAAGGUCUUCAAUGAUCAUGACUGUUUCAAGGUCAGGGAGGUGGUAGAAACACAGGGAGGCAGGUUGGGGAUUCUCCAACCCCGACAGAUGAAGACACACACAGAGGCAUGCAAGUCAGCAAAGAAAUGUAGGCUGGAUUCCCAGAGAGAGACAACUGCUUGUGUUUUUUAUAAGUGAGCAGGAGGGUCAAGUACAAUCCU